GACGAACGCCGGCGGCACGCCUAAUACAUGCAAGUCGAGCGAAUGAUGAAGAAGCUUGCCUCUUCUGAUUUAGCGGCGGACGGGUGAGUAACACGUGGGCAACCUGCCCCGUAGAUUGGGAUAACUCCGGGAAACCGGGGCUAAUACCGAAUAAUCCAUUUCCUCUCAUGGGGAAAUGUUAAAAGACGGUUUCGGCUGUCACUACAGGGUGGGCCCGCGGCGCAUUAGCUAGUUGGUGAGGUAACGGCUCACCAAGGCGACGAUGCGUAGCCGACCCGAGAGGGUGAUCGGCCACACUGGGACUGAGACACGGCCCAG
rnacentral:rRNA from 1 species